rnacentral:rRNA from 1 species
AUGGACCUCGCGGCAUUCCAGAAGGCCACGCAUGUCCUGGCCGGGAACGGCCAGCAGGCAUGCUUCUGGACAAGCCACUGGUUGGGUGCGGCCCCUUUGGCUGCUGCCUUCCCGAGCCUAUACAACCACUCCAGGCGCAAGAACCGCACGGUGGCCGCUGCGCUCGCCAAUGACCAAUGGAUCAGAGACCUUCAUCAUGGCAACACAUCGCUUAUCGUCGUCGAGUAUCUGCAUCUCAGGCGGCAAAUUCAACAAGCUGGACUGAUCCUUGACAGUCACGUCCCAGAUCGGAUUCAGUGGAUAGUAGGCGACGAUGAUCGCUACUCGGCAAGGGCGGCGUACCGCAUGCUCUUUCAGUCCAGGCCGAGCACGGGUGACGACAAGGUGAUCUGGAAAAGCUGGGCGCUGGGGACUGCCAAGGUGUUCUCAUGGCUCAUGCUCAGGAACAGGAUCUGGUGCAACGAUCGGCUGCAAAGGCGAGGUUGGCCAAAUGGAUAUUUCUGCAGCCUCUGCCUCCGAACCCUGGAGUCUGCGGUUCAUCUCUUCUGGGAGUGUUCAUUCUCCCGCCAAAUUUGGGCGUCCUUCUCCAUCAGAGCUGGCUGCGAGGAAAUGGCCACCUUCAAAUCGCUGCUCCACUCUACCAUGCAGCACUGCUUGCAAAUGAUCCGUCGCACGCCAGCGGGGGCGCGAAAGGGCUUCAGAUCAAUGCUCAUCUUAACUGCCUGGAACAUAUGGAAGGAGAAAAACGCCAUCGUCUUCAGGGGGAAGAUGCCAUGCCUGAACGACGGCGCCCGCGCCGUCAUGCCGGACUGUGACCAGUGGCGCGCCGCCGGUGCAGCUUGCCUAGAGCCCCCGUUCGGGGUCUAUUCUGCGAGAUAA